CAACAGGAUGAGAAGGAAGACCAGUUAAGAAAACUGAUUGUGGAUGGGUUCCAAAAAGUUCAAGACAAUCUCGACGCUCUCAAUAAGAAAGUACAUGCUUUGGAAAUAAAGACUGAAGGCCAACAUCAGGUGGAGGAAAGAACGCAUCUUUAGUGGGUAAAUAAUAUUAUAGGCGAUGUUGUUUCGAAAACACUAAAAAACAGACAAUCAGUUUACUGAGUUAACGUUACUUGUGUGUAUCAUUUUCAGUAACACAACAUUUAGACAUUUCUAACGAGUCGUUGAAACGAUAUCAGCGCCUAUUUAAUAUGGCAAAGGUCUUAUAUAAUAUUCACAAAAACUUUCAAGAAAGCACGCUCAAUAAACACAAAUGUAACAUGAUUUUAUAGAUGUUUCUACCAAACUAAAUGACAUCGAUUGCCCAUCUAUGUUUUGAUGCUUAAAUUUAAGACAAUGUUACUGGUUUGAUGCAAAUUUUGAUAACAUAUUGAUAAGACAAUCGUAUUUUAUAAUUAUAAUUGGCGUAUUUUACGUAUUUGUACAUAGUUUCGAUUUAACGUUUCUUGUAUUGAUUAGUUCUGUUCCAUUCAUGUUAUGCUUGCACACGUCAUUUACAUUUGGUGUGAGUGUUAAUAACAUGAGAGAAUGUUAAAAACUUCAGCACAAUAUGUGCUAAGAAAUACUGUAGUUUGAGGACGCAUACCGUUAAUAUUCGAACAUUUCUCAAUGUAUUAGUACAUGGAAUAUGAUAUUGCCAGUGCAAGUUCAUGAUUGUCUUAAUCUGGCUUUAUGAUGCGCAUUGUACUUAUUCCUUCUAUAUUGUAACUAACAUGUAUGUAUGUAAAGAAAUAAGACACUUAAACAAGAGUUGUAUAAAUGCAUAUUGUUGUAAAUCUAUAUAAGCAUAUGUGGAGUUUUGGUAGUGGAAGGAUAUGAGUGUUCGUUUGGUGACUUAAAAACUGCUUUCAGAAUAUAUGAUACUAUCAAUGUCUCUAACAUGCAAUGAUUUAUCUUUGAAAACGCACAUUCCCUGAAGAAAAAUAGAAUUAAUUUUAAUGACAUACCAUGAUAGUGAUCUGAAGUUUCAUUUAUGUUUUAUACCUUCUUCUUUUUAAACGCCGUCUCAAUUGUUAAAGUUGUCUUUUAUCGUGAACAGUUUAUCAAUGUUUACUGUAUUGUGUGUUAAUUUCUAAUUAAUAGUGUGUUGAUGAGUAUAACCAUGUAUCUAUAUUCACAGAGCACACACUUCAGUGUUUUUGUUUGUAAAGUGAAGUUCUGGCCAUACCGCUUAAUGUUUAUUUUUAAUUCAUGUUGGCAUAUUGUAUACAUCAUGAUUAGUAUAGAUGUGUUGUAUUGCAUGCUUAAAUCAAAAUACGUAAAUGUACUUGUUGGUGUAUAUGCCACUGUUGCUUUAUAAGUUGUCUGCAUCUAAUGACUUGAUAAGUUUUCCAUUACUAAUAUACAUUUGAUCAUAUAUAUAUAUAUAAUGCAGUUAAAUGUUUAUUCGUCCUUUGCGAUUGAGACAGAUGUUAUUGCAAUAAUAUUUAUUGAUUAAGCGUCCCGUAAACAUAAACGAAGUGUGAUCAAUACAAACACCAUUUUGAUAGCACCACAACUCUGUGUUAUUUCCAGAUACUAAGUAGUUUAACACCAACAAUAACAGCUAUGGGUUUGGCUGUCUUUUGUAUUUAGAAACUGAGGCUUGAUCGUAUGCACAAAAACAGUUCGUCACAAUCGAAGUGCGACUUGUGCACAUACUGUUAAGUGUGUUGCUUCAGACUAUAAUCGACAUUUCUUGAAAUAUUUGAUUUCGUCCUAUAAUGUCAUUUGAAAUGUAUAUUGUAUUAUUUUCUAUAUGCCAUAAAAUAUCCAUCAAUCAUUAUUAGCAGAUAAUAAAGUGUGUUUCUAAAAAAGAUGUUCAAUAUUGGUUGCAGUUGCCCGUGUGUGUUAUUAAUAGAACAGUUUAAAUGAUUUUUUUAUGCAAAACGUUGUUUUUAAUAUUCGAUGCUUACCUUUGCCUUUAUAUGCAUAUGUAUACCUUUUAAAGGUAUACUUUUGGAUGUCAUAUUGUUGUAUGAUAAAAUGCUUACUUGAGAAUUUAGCAACUUUGAAAAUUGUUGUACAGAAAAGAUGAUGUGAUAAGUAGUUCGAUAGCGAAAAAUGUAAAUAUUUGCAAACAAUGACACAAAUUAAACACUGAAUGAAGUAUUUACCGAGAUUUCCGAUCAUUUGCCUGUGUGUUUUAACAUUUCAUUUAUCAAUUUUGGUUUGUUAUUAAUGUUUUGUAUAAAGUAUUCCUACAUAUCUGCUUAUGAAGCAAAAUACGUAAUUACUAAUAUUUUUUUCAUUGGGAUAUCCAUUCACAUUUGAUUUGAUUUUUACCUUUCUUUUGAUUGUAGUUUCCAAGAUCCUGUCCAAAAAAAAGUUUA